AAAGCGUUCGUAGGCGGCUUGCCAAGUCAGAGGUGAAAUCCCACGACUCAAUCGUGGAACUGCCUUUGAGACUGGUUCGCUUGAACACGGGAGAGGUGAGUGGAAUUCCGAGUGUAGAGGUGAAAUUCGUAGAUAUUCGGAAGAACACCAGUGGCGAAGGCGGCUCACUGGACCGUUGUUGACGCUGAGGAACGAAAGCGUGGGGAGCAAACAGGAUUAGAUACCCUGGU
rnacentral:rRNA from 1 species